AUUCUUUUCUUUUCUUCUUUUUUGGUACAGAACUUUUGAUAAGCUUUAGAGAUUGAUUCAGAAGCAAAAUUACAAGGCGAAAAUGCCACACACAUGCAAUCCAUAUCAUAAUGAAAGGUUGAAUGAAUGGGAUAUAAUAAAAGUAUAAGACGGCUCGUACCAAUUCAUUUUUGUAGUAAUAGCAAGUUUUGAGAAAGCUCAAGGAUGCCCCUGUAACUACAGCAUCACAAGCAUUCUUAAUUCAACAAAAAGGAACUACUGGUCUGACCAUGGACACA
rnacentral:lncRNA from 1 species